rnacentral:rRNA from 1 species
AGAGUUUGAUCCUGGCUCAGAACGAACGCUGGCGGCAGGCUUAACACAUGCAAGUCGAACGAGUAAGAGCCGUAGCAAUACGGAGUUCUGCUAGUGGCGCACGGGUGAGUAACGCGUGGGAAUAUGCCCUUUAGUACGGAAUAACAGUUGGAAACGACUGCUAAUACCGUAUACGCCCUUCGGGGGAAAGAUUUAUCGCUAAAGGAUUAGCCCGCGUGAGAUUAGGUAGUUGGUGGGGUAAUGGCCUACCAAGCCUACGAUCUCUAGCCGGUCUGAGAGGACGAUCGGCCACACUGGAACUGAGACACGGUCCAGACUCCUACGGGAGGCAGCAGUGGGGAAUAUUGGACAAUGGGCGAAAGCCUGAUCCAGCCAUGCCGCGUGAGUGAUGAAGGCCUUAGGGUUGUAAAGCUCUUUUGUCAGGGAAGAUAUUGACGGUACCUGAAGAAUAAGCACCGGCUAACUUCGUGCCAGCAGCCGCGGUAAUACGAAGGGUGCUAGCGUUGUUCGGAAUUACUGGGCGUAAAGCGCGCGCAGGCGGUCUAUCAAGUCAGAGGUGAAAUGCCGAAGCUCAACUUCGGAACUGCCUUUGAAACUGUUAGACUAGAAUAUGGGAGGGGAUAGCGGAAUUCCUAAUGUAGAGGUGAAAUUCGUAGAUAUUAGGAGGAACACCGGUGGCGAAGGCGGCUAUCUGGCCCAUUAUUGACGCUGAGGCGCGAAAGCGUGGGGAUCAAACAGGAUUAGAUACCCUGGUAGUCCACGCUGUAAACGAUGAGUGCUAGCUGUUGGGACCUUAGGUCUCAGUGGCGCAGCUAACGCAUUAAGCACUCCGCCUGGGGAGUACGGUCGCAAGAUUAAAACUCAAAGGAAUUGACGGGGACCCGCACAAGCGGUGGAGCAUGUGGUUUAAUUCGAGGCAACGCGAAGAACCUUACCAGGACUUGACAUGUCCAGUUUGGAUUUCAGAAAUGAUUUCCUUCAGUUUGGCUGGCUGGAACACAGGUGCUGCAUGGCUGUCGUCAGCUCGUGUCGUGAGAUGUUGGGUUAAGUCCCGCAACGAGCGCAACCCUCAUCUUUAGUUGCUACCAUUUAGUUGAGCACUCUAAAGAAACUGCCGGUGAUAAGCCGGAGGAAGGUGGGGAUGACGUCAAGUCUUCAUGGCCCUUAUGUCCUGGGCUACACACGUGCUACAAUGGCAGUGACAAUGCGCCGCUACCUCGCGAGGGGAAGCUAAUCGCAAAAAGCUGUCUCAGUUCGGAUUGUACUCUGCAACUCGAGUACAUGAAGUUGGAAUCGCUAGUAAUCGCGCAUCAGCAUGGCGCGGUGAAUACGUUCCCGGGUCUUGUACACACCGCCCGUCACACCAUGGGAGUUGGUUCUACCUUAAGCCGCUGUGCUAACCGCAAGGAGGCAGGCAACCACGGUAGGGUCAGUGACUGGGGUGAAGUCGUAACAAGGUA